UACGGGAGGCAGCAGUGGGGAAUAUUGCACAAUGGGCGGAAGCCUGAUGCAGCGACGCCGCGUGGGGGAUGACGGCCUUCGGGUUGUAAACUCCUUUCGACAGGGACGAAGCGCAAGUGACGGUACCUGUAUAAGAAGCACCGGCUAACUACGUGCCAGCAGCCGCGGUAAUACGUAGGGUGCGAGCGUUAAUCGGAAUUACUGGGCGUAAAGGGCACGCAGGCGGUUAAUUAAGUUGGAUGUGAAAUCCCCGGGCUUAACCUGGGAAUGGCAUUCAAGACUGGUUAGCUAGAGUCUUGUAGAGGGGGUAGAAUUCCAUGUGUAGCGGUGAAAUGCGUAGAGAUGUGGAGGAAUACCGGUGGCGAAGGCGGCCCCUGGACAAAGCUGACGCUCAUGUGCGAAAGCGUGGGGAGCAAACAGGGAUUAGAUACC
rnacentral:rRNA from 1 species